GUCAGGAUGGCUGAGUGGUCUAAGGUGCCAGAUUCAAGAUAUAGCUGCCUUCCUGAUCAGGUGAGUGUUCUGGUCUCUGUAUAGAGGCGUGGGUUCAAAUCCCACUUCUGACA
rnacentral:tRNA from 1 species